rnacentral:rRNA from 1 species
ACGGGAGGCAGCAGUGAGGAAUAUUGGUCAAUGGGCGAAAGCCUGAACUAGCCAAGUCGCGUGAAGGAUGAAGGUAUUAUGUAUUGUAAACUUCUUUAGCAGCAGAGUAAUAAGGGGGUCGUGACCUCCGAUGCAAGUAUGCUGAAAAUAAGGAUCGGCUAACUCCGUGCCAGCAGCCGCGGUAAUACGGAGGAUCCGAGCGUUAUCCGGAUUUAUUGGGUUUAAAGGGUGCGCAGGCGGUUUUUUAAGUCAGUGGUUAAAUCGUGAGGCUCAACCUCAUCACGCCAUUGAUACUGGAAGACUUGAUUGCGGUUGAGGUAGGCGGAAUUCGUCGUGUAGCGGUGAAAUGCAUAGAUAUCAUGAAGAACUCCGAUUGCGAAGGCAGCUGUCCGGGGUGUAACUGACGCUAAUGCUCGAAAGUGCGGGUAUCAAACAGGAUUAGAUACCCUGGUA